rnacentral:lncRNA from 10 species
GUCCAGGCCCUGGUGACACAGCCUUGAGCAAAACAGUGAGGUCCCUGUCCUCACAGAGUUUGUAUUCCGGCCAGGCAAGAAGACGAUAGACAAGAACACAAAUGCUGGUGGAUCUGCUGACACGUGGUCUGUCCUUCAAGGCCUCCUCCGAUAGUGCAAAUGUAUUUCCAAAUACCACCACCUUAAGGGUUAGGAUUUCAACACAUGAAUUUGGGGAGAGCACAUUCAGUCCAUAACAAGCAGAGCCUCAUGAAUGGGAUUAAUGCCCUUAUAAAAGGGGUCUUAGAGAGACCCCUCACCCCUUCUGGCAUGUGUGGACACUGUCAAAAGGUGCUGUCGACCGGGUGCGGUGGCUCACGCCUGUAAUCCCAGCACUUUGGAAGGCUGAGGCGGGCGGAUCACCUGAGGUCAAGAGUUCAAGACCAGCCUGACCAACAUGACAAAACCCCGUCUCUACUAAAAACACAAAAAUUAGCCGGACGUGGUGGGCACCUGUAAUCCCAGCUACUCAGGAGGCUGAGGCAGGAGAAUCACUUGAACCCGGAAGCGAAGGUUGCAGUGAGCCAAGGUCGUGCUGCUGCACCCCAGCCUAGCGACAGAGCAAGACUCCAUCUCAAAAAAAAAAAAAAAAAAAAAAAAAGGUACUGUCUAUGAAGCUGAAGCAGAAAGCAGGCCCUCCUUAGACCCUGCACCUGCUGCUGCCCUGACUUUGGACUUUCCAGUCUGCAGAACUGUGAGAAAUACAUUUUUGUUGUUGACAAGCACCCAGUUAAUGAUACUUUGUUACAGCAGCUGCAACUAAGACACCACCCCUACACUACCCCACUCACUCCCGAUUCCCCAAACCCUGUGCAGAACUUAGCAGUGCCUAGCCACAUCCCUUAGCAGUGCCUAGCCACAUCCCUUAGCAGUGCCUAGCCACAUCCCUAAAGCCGCUGCUUCUCCAUCUUCAGCACCUGAGAAUCGCCUGGAGGGCUGGGUCCAUCCCCAGGGCGUCUGCUCCAGUAGGUCUGGGAUGGGCCCAAGUAUUCGCAUUUCUAACAAGUUCCCCUGUGCUGCUGAUGCUGCUGGUCCAGGGACCACACUUGGAGAGCCACUGCCCCAGGCUGUCCCCACCCGACCCGUCUGGCAGCCCCUGAGGCUGUGGGAGGCCACUCCACCACGAUGGCUGCUGCAUAGGAGCAGUCCUCACAAAGACUGGGGCUGGAGGGUCCCCGGCCCCCUCCCCUGACGGGCCGGCUCUGCUUGGAUGCACGUUCCACACAGCUGCCCAGAGGCCACUGAGCCCAGGCAGGCGCAGGGUACCCUGUUCAGCUAUGCACCCUGUCCUCUCUCCUUCCCUCCUCAUCUCGCUUCCUAGGAUCACUUUCCAGACCCACAGCUGGCCCUGGAAUCCCAGUUUCUGGGCUCACCCUCUGGACAGCCAACCCAGGAUGCUCUGUUCUACUUUUUCUCUUUCCCCUAACAUAUAUUGCCUUCUAAUAUAACAUUUUAUUCACA